GCAAGGGACCCUCACAGCCGAAGAUUGUGGAUUCCACAGACGAACUGAUGUCUCUUGUCCAAGGGAAGGAGGAAAAAAAAGUGCAGGCGAUCAAAGGGAAAUGUAUGGGCUGAGCUCUCAAAAUCAAGACUGUCCCGCAAAAAUCAUGACAGUUUGGAGGGAUGAAGUAGACAUGAUCCACAUGUAUGCUACCCUAGACCAACAAUUGUGGGAGCAGAUAAAUGACAAAAUGAAAUGCUACAAGCCAAAAUGCAAAAAAAAUGACUGUACCAUGAGGUUUGCCAUCUUUUCAGGAUGCUUCUGUUACAAGUUAAACCAAAUAAAAAACUUGCUGUUGGA